rnacentral:rRNA from 1 species
AGCACUCCUACGGGAGGCAGCAGUGGGGAAUAUUGCACAAUGGGCGCAAGCCUGAUGCAGCCAUGCCGCGUGUAUGAAGAAGGCCUUCGGGUUGUAAAGUACUUUCAGCAGUGAGGAAGGUGGGUAUGUUAAUAGCAUACUCAUUUGACGUUAGCUGCAGAAGAAGCACCGGCUAACUCCGUGCCAGCAGCCGCGGUAAUACGGAGGGUGCGAGCGUUAAUCGGAAUUACUGGGCGUAAAGCGCAUGCAGGUGGUUUGUUAAGUCAGAUGUGAAAGCCCGGGGCUCAACCUCGGAAUUGCAUUUGAAACUGGCAAACUAGAGUACUGUAGAGGGGGUAGAAUUUCAGGUGUAGCGGUGAAAUGCGUAGAGAUCUGAAGGAAUACCGGUGGCGAAGGCGGCCCCCUGGACAGAUACUGACACUCAGAUGCGAAAGCGUGGGGAGCAAACAGGAUUAGAUACCCUGGGAG